GGGCUGAGCUGUUAGCGUGCAGGGGUUCUAGCUCUCAAUGUAAGUACAGUGUUCCAUACACAGGUAAGUAUUCACAGGGCUGAGCUGUUAGCGUGCAGGGGUUCUAGCUCUCAAUGUAAGUACAGUGUUCCAUACACAGGUAAGUAUUCACAGGGCUGGGCUGUUAGCGUGCAGGGGUUCUAGCUCUCAGGUAAGUACAGUGUUCGAUACACAGGUAAGUAUUCACAGGGCUGAGCUGUUAGCGUGCAGGGGUUCUAGCUCUCAAUGUAAGUACAGUGUUCCAUACACAGGUAAGUAUUCACAGGGCUGAGCUGUUAGCGUGCAGGGGUUCUAGCUCUCAAUGUAAGUACAGUGUUCCAUAAACA